rnacentral:rRNA from 9 species
GGCGAGGGGAGUGAAAAAGAACCUGAAACCGUGUACGUACAAGCAGUGGGAGCACAGGUUUACCUGUGUGACUGCGUACCUUUUGUAUAAUGGGUCAGCGACUUAUAUUCUGUAGCAAGGUUAACCGUAUAGGGGAGCCGUAGGGAAACCGAGUCUUAACCGGGCGUUAAGUUGCAGGGUAUAGACCCGAAACCCGGUGAUCUAGCCAUGGGCAGGUUGAAGGUUGGGUAACACUAACUGGAGGACCGAACCGACUAAUGUUGAAAAA